UUAUUCUCAAACUCACACUUGUUAAUCUUGGAGACAGUUUGGAUAUGAGAGUUGCUGGUUUUCUUGAACCGGCUCUCUUUAAAUGCAUUAGUAGUUUUGGCUUUGUUCCACAUUCUCAAUUGAUGUGAUAGUUAUCUACAUCAUUAGAGAUUGAAUCUGCUUCUAACCGUCUUUCGACAAAACUUUGACA
rnacentral:misc_RNA from 1 species